UCACGGGGAGCGGAGGGGAAGCGCUGAGCUCUGCUCUCUGUGACAGCGACAGGGAGCGGCGUGGGGCUGCGUGGUGAUUUAAAAGCAGACAUGGUGCACCUCGCUCGUGUCUGCGCCUGCUAAUUGCUCUGUCGUUGUCAGAUGCAUGCCAACGUUGGUUUAUUCACUGGAACGGUCGCAACAUCUCAUUCCUCUGGGUGCAGGCAGAACAGCAGUCAGCUCUUGCUCAGAGACAUAGCUCUGUUCUCCCUGCUUUGCUACUGUGCAUUGAGGGAUGAGUCCAACAUCUGCUGAAGGCAAUGGGAAGAUGUGGAUGCCUUUCAAUAGGAAUUAUAUUAGUUUUCAGUACCUGGUGAAGAGAGCAGUGGUCCUGUACUGUACCUGAAUUUCCUUGGCUUGGAAGGCAGAAAGGAAGAAUGCAUCAUCAGGAGCUGGAGCUUCUCUUUUUAGGGAUAUUCAGCUUUAGAAAAUGAAUCAGAAGAAAGAACUUCAGAAGAGCUGGGAAGGAUAGAAGAGAAAAAUGAAGUGAACUUUAAGAAUAUUACCUGACACACCAACUGAGGAAAUGCUGAAGAACUUUGCUUUAAGUAAUCACUCACGUGAGUGCCUGUUUACCAGUCCAGUCCACCAGUGAGCAACUUCGACCGUUUACUCCUCUUGGACCGGUGCAUCCAGCACCUGCAGCACAUCAUCUGCUGGCCAAAGAAAAAUGCUCUUUACCACCUGGAAACCUGUCACAGUGAUGCGAGUAACCCAAACACAACUCUGCAAAGGAAAUAUGGAUUCAAUUCCUUUUGUGUAUCUGAGAUACUGCUGCUGAACCUGUGCUACGAAAGGUCAGGGACAAGAAGAAGUGAGCAAACCACAAGUAUUCUGUAACACAAGGCCAAGAAGUUGUGCACGUCUCUGGAAAUAAAUUUGGUGCCGGGCUAAACAGAAGAGGGCUUGCUGAAAUUUUUCUCUGUCUUUUCAGUUGAGACAUGGGCUUCCAAAGCCGAACACAGCCCUUCAGAUUCGAUCUCAUGCUGAUGUGGGUGAGGAGCGGCUUUGCGGACCUGACCAGGCACAUGGGCUCUUGGCUAGAUCAGAGACCUUCCCCAGCCGCAGUACCUGGAUGCCAGGCACACCAAUGGGCUGUAGCUGCCCUGCCCUAUCACAUCAGCUUCGUGAACACAGCACUGCCUUGCUGGUGUAGGGCUCCCUUUAGCACCACAGAAAGACAACUAUGUUUCUUCUCAGGAUUUGAUGGGAUCCAGGGUUGCUUACAUCCUAAUGAUCAGCCAUGAAAAACACAGCAGAGAUUUCAAGCUGGUAAAUGCUCCCAGCUUACCUUUCUUUCCACUGAAGACUGGAGCGCUAUAAGGAGUCUGGGAACUGUUGACCAUAAACUACCUGAAUCCAAUAUGCCAUUCAAGGAAAGUACAGCCACAGGAAUAGCAGACUGAGAGAAAACAGUGUGCAGGAACUUAAGAAACCCACUGAAAAUUUUGUCUAGUAAAAAGCAUUAAAAAUGCUAACAUUUAGGAAGAUGAGUGAAUCCUAAGAAUCAUAGAAUCAUGGAAUCGCAAGGUUGGAAAUGACCUGCAAGAUCAUCUGGUCCAACCGUCCUCCCAUUACCAUUGGUACCACAAGCCACUAAACCAUAUCUUGUAGCUCCUCAUCCAGACAAUCAAGAAGAAACAAGACAGUCAACAAGAAACCAGAGCAGAAGAACAGAGGCAAUGAAGGUGUGACAAGACUAAGACCGAGAUGGAGAAGUCUUCAAAUAAAGUGAGUUUUGGAGUUCCUUAGGAUACCACAUCCCCAGCGCCUAGCAGAAGAAACUAGAAAAACACCACUUCAACUUGUAAUUGGAUACAAGAUACUGAUUACAUAAAGCAUGCAUGUUGAUGGCGCGACAUCAGUGCACUGAAAGACAGUUUCUCCUAGACAACGUGCCUCCUGCACGUCAAACUGAUGACUGUCUUUUGGUCAAGAAUGUGUUCAACUGGGAGUCUGACCAGUUUCAGCAUGCUACUGGCAGGAAGCACUGCUCGAGUGGGUUCCUGUGUCCAACUCACACCGUGGUGCUGGAGCCCUGAUCUGCACGUACUGCACUGCCACAGUGCCUCUCUCCAUUCUCAAUGUCAGAACUGUCCUGGUCUGCAAUUGUGUCUAUUUUCUGAAACAAAUGACUUUCACCUCUGGCACAGUUCUGCACGUCUGGGUCAAUAGACUGCACUGCCUUGAUAGACAAUGAGGGACCUUUGUCCUGGCCGUGGCAGCACAUGAGACCUUGCUCAGGUGCUGCUUCCCACCCUCGGUGCCCCCACCAUGCUGUGUGCUGCUCGCUGCUGGGGGAAUGCUUUGAGCCCUGCCAUAGGUCCUCAAAAGAGGAACUGCAGAGGCAUAAUGGCAUCUUGUGAUGUGGAAGCGCAUCCUGCAUACCAGGCAAUGCCAGCAAAGGCACCGUCCCCUUAUCUCUGUUAUGUAACCACCAUCAAAACGAAGGUGAGUUUGUGAACCUGAUGUGGUUGCCUGCAGUUACGGCACUUCCCCAGGACAUGGGCAGAGACUGCCUUGCUGGGAAAAAAUACUGCUUUGGUUUACAACUGACGUACGCUCUUCCAACUUUGAAGCAGAAACAUGGACAAAGAUUUAAAGCCAGAGGCUGGUUCAUAGCAAAAAGUGUGGGUCCUGCGGCAAACACCAUGGCCACAGGAUGGAGGAACACACAAGCCUCUUUACACAGCCUGCCGCAGAAGGGAAAGUUGCCCAAAGCUUGCUUCAGCAUGAAUGUGGCUUCUCUUCCACGGCGUGUGCCACACCUCUUGGCAAGGUGAAGGUUUGAGAAGGAAAGAUUCCUUUCUCCUGAGGUAACAGGAGUACAACUGGAAUAAAAAAGGUGGCAAGAGGGAGAAUGCCGCGUCUGCAGAACAGAAUGCAGAGGAUGGGGUGGCAGCUUCUGUGGGGCCUUCACUUGAUUUCCAGCUGUCUCCAGCCUCUGCUUCUCUCCCAUGGUUCCUUCAUUAAAUCAAUGAACCUUGCAUUAGCUGGGUGAGGAUAUUUUUGCUGUCUGCCACAUGGCCAUAGAUGCACCAUCUCAUUGCUGAGUGGCACGUUCGUCCAGACAUACGGGCCUGCUGUUGUCCCCAGAGCGCUCUGAAACAGGCAAUCACUUUGGGUUAUGUAGCGAACCUGAUCUGGAGAGGUAGAAGUUGCAUUGUUAAAAUAUCCUUAUGCUCAUAAAGCCAGUCUAUAUGACAGCACCAGCUCUCAGUCAAGAGCUGUGCAGAUUAGCACAUUCUCUAGGAAAUACGGAGGAUGAGUACAGUCAUUCAUAGAAGGGACUCUGCUUUGCUGAGCUGCAUACCGACAGAGCUCUAGGGUCUUUCGCAUCCAGACUAAUGCUCGUUCCAAUGCUAAAACACGGUGGUACUACCUGUGGACACACACAUGACACAUCUGCACUAGAGACAUCUGCUUGGAGCUCACAGCUGUGCUGGGGGCGGAUUGGAAGAGGCUCAGCCAACAGCCUGCUCUGGGCAGCCACAACACGGGGAGCGAGCAGGGCGCUCUCGGAGCCCUUCUGGGGUGAGACCCAGCCUUGGGGGUUUAUGUAGCAUUUCGUGCGGUGACUUUGGGAUGGGGAGAGGCUUUCUCGGCGCCGUGCCUCCCUUCCUGAUACCAAAGCAGAGCGAGCGGUUCCCUGUGCGGCAGUCGGGUUGCCAGCAAGCAGAGCAGACGCUGUCCUGUGGCUGUGUUCCUCCCAUUCAUUUAUUCUGGGAGAGGCGGGCAGUGGUCUGCGCGCAGCCGGGAGAAACGAGCGAGAAUCCUGCCGGAGCGUGUGCGAGGAGCGCAGCGGGAGCGAGUACCCAAACAUGCGUGGUGCAGCCCUGCCUGCCUCGUAGUGCGGCGACGGAAUGAGUCAGAGCCUCUUUGGUCUGAAUGAAGUGGAAGGUACUCUCUACAAAGCGACUCGAGCAUACGCCAAGGAUCCGGAAAAAUAAAACUAAUUCAGAAAACGGGAGUGGGAUGCGGGCUCCUGUUCUACAAAGCUUCACAGCUCUCCACGGCAAAACGCAAUAUGGCAUCUUAAAUAAAAUCACCCUCCCCUGACUCUCACGGCGCUGCCUCCGAGCCGUCCCCGGCUCCCUGGCGCGCGUU